rnacentral:ncRNA from 2 species
CCUUCGAUCCGUGGUGAUUUGGCCGGUCGGCUUGCAGCCACGUAAAACAACUCGCUAAAAAGGCCGAACGAAGCAGAUU